rnacentral:lncRNA from 1 species
GAAAGAACAUCUUUUUCUGUACUUGCCAAACAGAAAGAGAUACUGUAGAUAGAGAAGUAGAUAUGAGGUACAGCCACAGAUGCUUGGAUAAUUCAUGAAUAUUCCACAGGGAAACAGCGAGGAGAUGUGAGGUGUCAAACCAGUGCAACGGAGACAAGCCAGCUGUGAGGUUUCGUUGCCAAGGCAACUCAGACACCCACUCUACCGUGCUUGGCUCACCCUUGCUGAGCAGCCACAUUGGUCAAGACCCACUAAAAGCGACCGAACAACAAGAGAGAGG